AAAAAAAAAAAAAAAAAAAAAAAAUUUAAAAAAAAAAAAAAAUUGAAAAAAAAAAAAAAAAAAAAAAAAAAAAAAAAAAAAAAAAAAAAAAAAAAAAAACCAAAUAAAAAAAAAAAAAAAAAAAAAAAAAUUUAAAAAAAAAAAAAAAAAAAAAAAAAAAAAAAAAAAAAAAGAAAAAAAAAAAAAAAAAAAAAAAAAAAAAAAAUUUAAAAAAAAAAAAAAAAAAAAAAAAAAAAAAAAAAAAAAAACCAAAUAAAAAAAAAAAAAAAAAAAAAAAUAAAAAAAAAAAAAAAAAAAAAAAAAA
rnacentral:misc_RNA from 1 species